GUUCUACCUUGACGAAUUGUAGUUUAAAGAAGUGUUUUCUGUUAGAUGAGUAGCAAAAGUUCCUUGGAAUGGGACAUCAUAGAGGGUGAGAAUCCCGUAUUUGGUUAUUCAUUCUAGCUUUGUGAUACACUUUCAAAGAGUCGGAUUGUUUGGGAAUGCAGUCCAAAAUGGGUGGUAAAUUUCAUCUAAAGCUAAAUAUUGGCGAGAGACCGAUAGCGAACAAGUACCGUGAGGGAAAGAUGAAAAGAACUUUGAAAAGAGAGUUAAACAGUACGUGAAAUUGUCAAAAGGGAAGCGUUUGACACCAGUGUCGUUUUUCCGAAAAUCAAUUACGAAUGGCUUGAUUCUGUGUUGUAUUGACCUUAUCAGCUUUCUUCACUUUUUUCGAGUCUUUCUU
rnacentral:rRNA from 1 species